AACGGUCAUACGAUGCUGAAUAUAACGGUUCUCGUUAGAUCACCGAAGUCAAGCAUCAUAGGGCGCGGUCAGUUUUUUGGGUGGGUGGCCACCUGUUAACGCCACGUGCCGUU